rnacentral:rRNA from 1 species
AAUCAACGCUGGCGGCGUGCCUCAGACAUGCAAGUCGAACGAUUAAAGCUCUCUUCGGAGAGUGCAUAAAGUGGCGCACGGGUGAGUAACACGUAAGUAAUCUACCUUCGAGUGGGGAGUAACGUCCGGAACGGACGCUAAUACCGCAUAACGCAGCGGCAUCGCAAGAUGACAGUUGUUAAAGAUUUAUCGCUUGAAGAGGAGCUUGCGGCAGAUAGCUUGUUGG